AAGUGGUGGGACGCGCAGAGUUCGAGGACGUACGCUACUUAGAGAUUUAUACGACUUAGAUCCUGUCGAGCGUGUUAAAGUAAGUAGAAAUACUCAUGGUCAGCCUGUUGGAUCUGAAGCUCGACUUUUAGCAGGCUAUUUGGGCAUUUUAGCACGAAAUGCAAAUAUGUUGCCCAUCAACUACUUAAUCAUGGCAUCACAUGCCUGAUAGCAACAAAAACCAGGCUCUCGCUAAUAUUAAGGAGAGAUUUUCUUUAGAAGUCUCCGAUGAUUAUAUCAAGAAGGCAU